CCUACGGGUGGCUGCAGUGAGGAAUAUUGGUCAAUGGACGCAAGUCUGAACCAGCCAUGCCGCGUGCAGGAAGACGGCUCUAUGAGUUGUAAACUGCUUUUGUACGAGGGUAAACGCAGAUACGCGUAUCUGUCUGAAAGUAUCGUACGAAUAAGCAUCGGCUAACUCCGUGCCAGCAGCCGCGGUAAUACGGAGGAUUCAAGCGUUAUCCGGCUUUUUUGGGUUUAAAGGGUUCGUAGGCGGGCGGAUAAGUUAGAGGUGAAGUCCCGGGGCUCAACUUCGGAAUUGCCUCUGAUACUGUUCGGCUAGAGAGUAGUUGCGGUAGGCGGAAUGUAUGGUGUAGCGGUGAAAUGCUUAGAGAUCAUACAGAACACCGAUGGCGAAGGCAGCUUACCAGGCUACUUCUGACGUUGAGGCACGAAAGCGUGGGGAGCAAACAGGAGUAGAUACCCGUGUAGUC
rnacentral:rRNA from 1 species